CAGUAGCCGCGGUAACACGGAGGGAGCUAGCGUUAUUCGGAAUUACUGGGCGUAAAGCGCACGUAGGCGGCUUUGUAAGUUAGAGGUGAAAGCCUGGUGCUCAACACCAGAACUGCCUUUGAUACUGCAUCGCUUGAAUCCAGGAGAGGUGAGUGGAAUUCCGAGUGUAGAGGUGAAAUUCGUAGAUAUUCGGAAGAACACCAGUGGCGAAGGCGGCUCACUGGACUGGUAUUGACGCUGAGGUGCGAAAGCGUGGGGAGCAAACAGGAUUAGAUACCCGUGUAGUCCCUGUCUCUUAUAC
rnacentral:rRNA from 1 species